rnacentral:piRNA from 1 species
UCAAAGAUUAAUGCCUGGAAUCCACCUCC